rnacentral:rRNA from 1 species
UGGAUCCAGACUUUGAUUAUGGCUCAGGAUGAACGCUAGCUACAGGCUUAACACAUGCAAGUCGAGGGGAAACGACAUCGAAAGCUUGCUUUUGAUGGGCGUCGACCGGCGCACGGGUGAGUAACGCGUAUCCAACCUGCCCACCACUUGGGGAUAACCUUGCGAAAGUAAGACUAAUACCCAAUGAUAUCUCUAGAAGACAUCUGAAAGAGAUUAAAGAUUUAUCGGUGAUGGAUGGGGAUGCGUCUGAUUAGCUUGUUGGCGGGGUAACGGCCCACCAAGGCAACGAUCAGUAGGGGUUCUGAGAGGAAGGUCCCCCACAUUGGAACUGAGACACGGUCCAAACUCCUACGGGAGGCAGCAGUGAGGAAUAUUGGUCAAUGGACGAGAGUCUGAACCAGCCAAGUAGCGUGCAGGAAGACGGCCCUAUGGGUUGUAAACUGCUUUUAUAAGGGAAUAAAGUGAGAGUCGUGACUCUUUUUGCAUGUACCUUAUGAAUAAGGACCGGCUAAUUCCGUGCCAGCAGCCGCGGUAAUACGGAAGGUCCGGGCGUUAUCCGGAUUUAUUGGGUUUAAAGGGAGCGUAGGCCGGAGAUUAAGCGUGUUGUGAAAUGUAGACGCUCAACGUCUGCACUGCAGCGCGAACUGGUUUCCUUGAGUACGCACAAAGUGGGCGGAAUUCGUGGUGUAGCGGUGAAAUGCUUAGAUAUCACGAAGAACUCCGAUUGCGAAGGCAGCUCACUGGAGCGCAACUGACGCUGAAGCUCGAAAGUGCGGGUAUCGAACAGGAUUAGAUACCCUGGUAGUCCGCACGGUAAACGAUGGAUGCCCGCUGUUGGUCUGAAUAGGUCAGCGGCCAAGCGAAAGCAUUAAGCAUCCCACCUGGGGAGUACGCCGGCAACGGUGCAACUCAAAGGAAUUGACGGA